UACGAAGGGGGCUAGCGUUGCUCGGAAUGACUGGGCGUAAAGGGCGCGUAGGCGGAUGGCACAGUCAGAUGUGAAAAUUCCCCGGGGCUUUAACCUGGGGGGCUGCAUUUGAUACGUGUGAUCUAGAGUGAGGAAGAGGGUCGUGGAAUUCCCAGUGUAGAGGUGAAAUUCGUAGAUAUUGGGAAGAACACCGGUGGCGAAGGCGGCGACCUGGUCCUUGACUGACGCUGGAGGCGCGAAAGCGUGGGGAGCAAACAGG
rnacentral:rRNA from 1 species